rnacentral:tRNA from 1 species
CGGGGUGUGGCUCAGUUUGGUAGAGUACUUGAAUGGGGUUCAAGGGGCCGCUGGUUCGAAUCCAGUCACUCCGACCA